rnacentral:rRNA from 1 species
AUUGAACGCUGGCGGCAUGCCUUACACAUGCAAGUCGAACGGUAACGGGCCUUCGGGUGCCGACGAGUGGCGAACGGGUGAGUAAUACAUCGGAACGUGCCCGAUCGUGGGGGAUAACGAGGCGAAAGCUUUGCUAAUACCGCAUACGAUCUACGGAUGAAAGCAGGGGACCGCAAGGCCUUGCGCGGACGGAGCGGCCGAUGGCAGAUUGGGUAGUUGGUGGGAUAAAAGCUUACCAAGCCGACGAUCUGUAGCUGGUCUGAGAGGAUGAUCAGCCACACUGGGACUGAGACACGGCCCAGACUCCUACGGGCGGCAGCAGUGGGGAAUUUUGGACAAUGGGCGCAAGCCUGAUCCAGCCAUGCCGCGUGCAGGAUGAAGGCCUUCGGGUUGUAAACUGCUUUUGUACGGAACGAAAAGCCUUCUUUUAAUACAGGAGGGUCAUGACGGUACCGUAAGAAUAAGCACCGGCUAACUACGUG